GUUAGUGGUUCUCAGGAUUGAGUUUGGAGCGUCCACCUCAUCUCUCUCAACCUAACAGGACCUGAAAGUGGGAUGCAUAUUGAAGAGAGAAAGGACCCAGCCACUUUAAAGUGGGUAUCUCUGGAGGUGCUGCUUCUGUUUAGUGUUGAAACUGAAAGAAGUAUUUUGGGGAGGACCAUGACAGGGACCCAGGACAGUUGGUGGGAAAUCAGAUCUUCAGUGUAGAAGAUGGCAAGAUUUUGAAAGUUCAGUGGUGAUUGGACAUUCCCAUCACAUCUGAAGAAGAAAGCCAGUCCCCUCACAGCUAUGCCAGCACCUGUCAGGCUAGUGUGCCAUACAUUUGUCACAGUCAUAUUGGUGUCAUGCACCAUUAGUACAUUACCUUGUAAUGGACUGCUCUCGGAUACAAGUACAUGUAAUUUGGCUCUUUGCCUCAUGUCUCUCCAUUACUUGUUUGAAUUGUUUCCUAACAACUUAUCCUGUAGGUCCGUGU